UAAAACAGGGGAGGCGUACGCCUCACCCUCUCUCAAUUAUUUGAAUAAUUGGCGCAUGCCAUAUUGCACAAAUUAUCGACUUUCGACUAAAAUACUUUAAAUAAACUUGGAUAAGGGAAUAGGUGGCGUACGCCUCAUUAUUCUUUGAAUAAGCAAGUAGGGGUGUACGCCUCACUACCGUGCAUACUCAACAUCCACACACAAACUUUCAAAAUAAUUCGAACGAAAAAGGAGUAGAAGGCGGACGCCUUAUUACUCCUCGAAAGAAUUGGACGAUUGGUGAACACCACAUUGCUCAAUCUUUCGUCGUUCUUCAAAAACAUCUCAUAACUUUCAAAAUAAUUCGAACGAAAAAGGAGUAGAAGGCGGACGCCUUAUUACUCCUCGAAAGAAUUGGACGAUUGGUGAACACCACAUUGCUCAAUCUUUCGUCGUUCUUCAAAAA
rnacentral:lncRNA from 1 species